GAGUGAUUGUUGUAUUUUGCAACUUCGAUUCGCUUAAUAAUGCAUUAAAAGCUUGGUCAAAACAUCUCGUAUGAAGUUCGUCCAGGACGUAAACCUAACCAGUUUCUCGUCAAAAAUCAAGACACCGAUGAACCUGUUCAAGAGGGCACUUACGGA
rnacentral:lncRNA from 1 species